rnacentral:rRNA from 14 species
AGGUUCUAACUCUGUCCCGUGAUCCGGGACGAGGACCGUGUCUGGUGGGUAGUUUGACUGGGGCGGUCUCCUCCCAAAGCGUAACGGAGGAGCACAAAGGUGGGCUAAGCAUGGUCGGACAUCAUGCGGUUAGUGUAAUGGCACAAGCCCGCUUAACUGCGAGACAGACACGUCGAGCAGGUACGAAAGUAGGUCAUAGUGAUCCGGUGGUUCUGUAUGGAAGGGCCAUCGCUCAACGGAUAAAAGGUACUCCGGGGAUAACAGGCUGAUACCGCCCAAGAGUUCAUAUCGACGGCGGUGUUUGGCACCUCGAUGUCGGCUCAUCACAUCCUGGGGCUGAAGUCGGUCCCAAGGGUAUGGCUGUUCGCCAUUUAAAGUGGUACGCGAGCUGGGUUUAGAACGUCGUGAGACAGUUCGGUCCCUAUCUGGUGUGGGCGUUGGAUGAUUGAUGGGAGCUGCUCCUAGUACGAGAGGGCCGGAGUGGACGAACCGCUGGUGUUCGGGUUGUUUUGCCAAAGGCAUUGCCCGGUAGCUACGUUCGGAAUCGAUAACCGCUGAAAGCAUCUAAGCGGGAAGCCGGCCCAAAGAUGAGUCAUCCCUGACCUUAAAGGUCUGGAAGGGUUGUUAUAGACGAUGACGUUGAUAGGCAGGGUGUGGAAGCGUUGUAAGGCGUUAAGCUAACCUGUACUAAUUGCCCGUGCGGCUUAACC